rnacentral:rRNA from 1 species
CAGCCGCCACGGUAAUACGGAGGGGGCUAGCGUUGUUCGGAGUUACUGGGCGUAAAGCGCACGUAGGCUGCUUUGUAAGUCAGAGGUGAAAGCCCGGAGCUCAACUCCGGAAUUGCCUUAAAGACUGCAUCACUUGAACGUCGGAGAGGUGAGUGGAAUUCCGAGUGUAGAGGUGAAAUUCGUAGAUAUUCGGAAGAACACCAGUGGCGAAGGCGGCUCACUGGACGACUGUUGACGCUGAGGUACGAAAGCGUGGGGAGCAAACAGAAUUAGAUACCCCGGUAGUCCCUGUCUCUUAUAC